rnacentral:rRNA from 1 species
CCUACGGGAGGCAGCAGUAGGGAAUCUUCCGCAAUGGACGAAAGUCUGACGGAGCAACGCCGCGUGAACGAUGAAGGCCUUCGGGUCGUAAAGUUCUGUUGUUAGGGAAGAACAAGUGCUAGUUAAAUAAGCUGGCACCUUGACGGUACCUAACCAGAAAGCCACGGCUAACUACGUGCCAGCAGCCGCGGUAAUACGUAGGUGGCAAGCGUUGUCCGGAAUUAUUGGGCGUAAAGCGCGCGCAGGCGGUUUCUUAAGUCUGAUGUGAAAGCCCCCGGCUCAACCGGGGAGGGUCAUUGGAAACUGGGAAACUUGAGUGCAGAAGAGGAAAGUGGAAUUCCAAGCGUAGCGGUGAAAUGCGUAGAGAUUUGGAGGAACACCAGUGGCGAAGGCGACUUUCUGGUCUGUAACUGACGCUGAGGCGCGAAAGCGUGGGGAGCAAACAGGAUUAGAUACCCUGGUAGUCCACGCUGUAAACGAUGAGUGCUAAGUGUUAGAGGGUUUCCGCCCUUUAGUGCUGAAGUUAACGCAUUAAGCAUCCGCCUGGGGAGUACGGUCGCAAGACUGAAACUCAAAGGAAUUGACGGCNGAGAGNGCGACGACGACGACGAGGGAGAGG